rnacentral:rRNA from 1 species
UGGGGAAUAUUGCACAAUGGGCGAAAGCCUGAUGCAGCGACGCCGCGUGAGGGAUGACGGCCUUCGGGUUGUAAACCUCUUUCAGUAGGGAAGAAGCGAAAGUGACGGUACCUGCAGAAGAAGCGCCGGCUAACUACGUGC